UACGUAGGGUGCAAGCGUUUAAUCGGAAUUACUGGGCGUAAAGCGUGCGCAGGCGGUUUGUUAAGUCUGUUGUGAAAUCCCCGAGCUCAACUUGGGAAUUGCAAUGGAUACUGGCAGGCUGGAGUAUGGUAGAGGAAGGUGGAAUUCCCGGUGUAGCAGUGAAAUGCGCAGAGAUCGGGAGGAACACCAGUGGCGAAGGCGGCUCUCUGGGGGUAUUUCUGACGCUGAGGCACGAAAGCCAGGGGGAGCGAACGGG
rnacentral:rRNA from 1 species